UGGGGGAAUAUUGGGGCAAUGGGGCGAAAGCCUGACCCAGCAACGCCGCGUGAGGGAAGAAGGGUUUCGGCUCGUAAACCUCUGUCCUAUGGGACGAAGAAGAUGACGGUACCAUAGGAGGAAGCCCCGGCUAACUACGUGCCAGCAGCCGCGGUAAUACGUAGGGGGCGAGCGUUGUCCGGAAUGAUUGGGCGUAAAGGGCGCGUAGGCGGCCCGUUAAGUCUGGAGUGAAAGUCCUGCUUUCAAGGUGGGAAUUGCUUUGGAUACUGAUGGGCUGGAGUGCAGGAGAGGAAAGCGGAAUUACCGGUGUAGCGGUGAAAUGCGUAGAGAUCGGGAGGAC
rnacentral:rRNA from 1 species